GAUGAACGCUGGCGGCGUGCUUAACACAUGCAAGUCGAACGGAAAGGCCCAAGCUUGCUUGGGUACUCGAGUGGCGAACGGGUGAGUAACACGUGGGCGAUCUGCCCUGCACUUCGGGAUAAGCCUGGGAAACUGGGUCUAAUACCGGAUAGGACCACAUUUUGGAUGGUGUGGUGGAAAGCUUUUCGGUGUGGGAUGAGCUCGCGGCCUAUCAGCUUGUUGGUGGGGUAAUGGCCUACCAAGGCGUCGACGGGUAGCCGGCCUGAGAGGGUGUACGGCCACAUUGGGACUAGGAUACGGCCCAGACUCCUACGGGAGGCAGCAGUGGGGAAUAUUGCACAAUGGGCGCAAGCCUGAUGCAGCGACGCCGCGUGGGGGAUGACGGCCUUCGGGUUGUAAACUCCUUUCGCUAAAGACGAAGCGCAAGUGACGGUACCUGGAGAAGAAGCACCGGCUAACUACGUG
rnacentral:rRNA from 1 species